rnacentral:ncRNA from 1 species
AAGGAUAGAGGCGCGGUUUUCAUCAGUACUGUCUGCGAGGGUCCGCAACCCCGAUGAACAGAUGGGAAAGGGCAAGCCGCCGAAGCUUCUCACUCUGUGCGGCGGGGGAAAGCUGGACCGUUCGGAAAAUAUCCGCCGUGUCUGUCAUCAGCAUUUUUCAAAAUGCCGGUGGAGAGCUAUCGUA